rnacentral:rRNA from 1 species
UACGUAGGGUGCGAGCGUUUGUCCGGAAUUACUGGGCGUAAAGAGUUCGUAGGCGGUUUGUCGCGUCGUUCGUGAAAACUUGGGGCUAACUCCAAGCGUGCGGGCGAUACGGGCAGACUUGAGUACUACAGGGGAGACUGGAAUUCCUGGUGUAGCGGUGAAAUGCGCAGAUAUCAGGAGGAACACCGGUGGCGAAGGCGGGUCUCUGGGUAGUAACUGACGCUGAGGAACGAAAGCGUGGGUAGCGAACAGG